CCUUACCUACUCUUGACAUCCAGAGAACUUAGCAGAGAUGCUUUGGUGCCUUCGGGAAUUUUGAGACAGGUGCUGCAUGGCUGUCGUCAGCUCGUGUUGUGAAAUGUUGGGUUAAGUCCCGCAACGAGCGCAACCCUUAUCCUUUGUUGCCAGCGGUUCGGUCGGGAACUCAAAGGAGACUGCCAGUGAUAAACUGGAGGAAGGUGGGGAUGACGUCAAGUCAUCAUGGCCCUUACGAGUAGGGCUACACACGUGCUACAAUGGCAUAUACAAAGAGAAGCGACCUUGCGAGAGCAAGCGGACCUCAUAAAGUAUGUCGUAGUCCGGAUUGGAGUCUCC
rnacentral:rRNA from 1 species